rnacentral:lncRNA from 1 species
GCAAUGCAUGCCACUCUGGUCAGCUUCUCACACAAUCCAUCCUGCCAAGAGGGACUUGUCCCGUCACCCACCGCCACCAGUUCCAUGGUCUGGGAUCUCAUUGCAAAGUGAAUAAGCAAACACCUGGAGGACAUAAGCUAAGCAUAGAAGUAGCUUUUGUAUUUGCCAGUACAUUUGUAGUAUAUAAAAAUAUCUAGGAAUUUUCCAAACAUGAGUGAGAUUAUUCAAAGAGUAAAUAGUAAACCAUGCACUGUAUAGUAAAAUAAGCCAAAUGUUCUCUUUUCUCUGAUUCUGUUCACUUUGGGGAAAAUCUGAAGACUAAGUGGGCAGAAGAGAGGAACCUGUGGACUGCUGCUAUCUGGGCUCUUGCACGAAUGACAAUGAAGCCAAAUGUACAGAUAUUAUCAGUUUCCUGCACUUCAACAGAAGGAUCAUCUAUGAUAUCACUUUAUCUUCUCUGCUUCACUGGCAUUCCCGAUGUACAGUUCUGAAAUGACCAUCUCUACACUUUCUUCCUUGACACAAUUUCAGCAAAAGAUAUCUGUUCCAGAAGCCUGAGAACAAUUUCCACACCUGAGAGAUCUGUCAGAUGGUAUCUAUAGACAGCUAAGGCGCUAUACUGUGCUGGCAGCUUAGGGUGAUUCCUGGAGGGGACAUUGUGAGGGACUCUUCUCUGGAGUACUGCCCAGCUCAACUCUCACUUUUUUUGAUACACCCGAAAAACUGUAAGUAAGAAAGCCACCAGGGAUAUUUGACUCACUGAGCAUUGCUGUUGCUGAUACCUGUGUUUUCAAAAGGACAGAUUUCUUGCUUUUAGUUUUGUGGAGCGUGUCAACAGUGCAAUAAUAAACAAGAGACAGAUGUCAGUCAUCAUAUGAAGCGAAUGCACUUGGUAAUGCACGUGCUGUAUAUCAUACUGUAUACCACAAAAACCACAGGAGAAAUUGACU